AUUGAACGCUGGCGGCAUGCCUUACACAUGCAAGUCGAACGGCAGCACGGGUGCUUGCACCUGGUGGCGAGUGGCGAACGGGGGAGUAAUACAUCUGAACAUGUCCUGUAGUGGGGGGUAGCCCGGCGAAAGCCGGGUUAAUACCGCAUACGAUCUACGUAUGAAAGCGGGGGACCUUCUGGCCUCGCGCUUUGGGGUUGGCCGAUGGCUGAUUAGCUAGUUGGUGGGGUAAAGGCCUACCAAGGCGACGAUCAGUAGCUGGUCUGAGAGGACGACCAGCCACACUGGAACUGAGACACGGCCCAGACUCCUACGGGAGGCAGCAGUGGGGAAUUUUGGGCAAUGGGCGAAAGCCUGACCGAGCAAUGCCGCGUGUGUGAAGAAGGCCUUCGGGUUGUAAAGCACUGUUGUCCGGGAAGAAAAACUUGGUUCUAAUCCAGGCGGGGGAUGACGGUACCGGAAGAAUAAGCACCGGCUAACUACGUG
rnacentral:rRNA from 1 species